CAAGGUGAUAGUGAGAGCAGGAAAACCAGUGAGGAAGCUGUUGCAAUACUCCAGUGGGGGAAAAAUAGUUAAUUUGGUUGGUACAGUGCUUGAUACAAAGUGACAAUCAAUAAAUAUUUGCUGAACAAAUUAAUGAAUAAGCAAGUGAAACCAAGCUUCUAAAGUUACUCAUCUCUUAAAAAUAAAUGAGAUUUAUUCUGUGUUUAAGUAUAUUUCUUAUAUAUAUGUACUCUACAAUAUAAUAAACUUCUUAUACUUUCAAUUUAACCUAUAAAAUUUGCUUCUGAACCUAAUGCUCUGUUAUAUCUUAUUGUUCAGUAUUAUUCAUACUUACCUCUUCCUUCUGAUCUGGAAAGAUACAAUCCACACUCUAUACCUUGUGUUAUAAUCACUCGCGCACACACCUCCCUCCUGCCGCCUUAACACUCACACCUUACAAUUCUAUGUUAGUAUCAUAAAAUCUUUGCCAAGGAUACAGCUGAAUAGAUUCUCAUAUUUGGCCAUAAGUUCAGUUUCUAGUACAUUAUACUCACGCCUCUUUGUUGCUCUAGCAAUGUAUAAUUCUCCAUAUCUAGGAAAGUGACCUGGUGGGGGAAAAUGUUUUUUUUUAACUAACAUUGGUCUGGCCAAGGGAUAUAGGAUAAAAUAGAGGAGGAAGAUCUUGGAGGUAGGAAAGCCAUUCAGAAUGUAGUUAAAUGAAUAUAGACAGGGAAUUCCAAGAGCAAUGGAGAGUUGUGUGAAAACAGCUGCUUAGACUCUUCUCUUGUGUCUCAGUUUCCUAACCAAUAAAAUGGAAAUAAUAGUGGUAUCUGCUUCACAGGGUCAUGAAAGACUUAAGUGAGAAUAUACAUUCAAAUUUCUUAGCAUUCUGCUUCCCUUGUAUGGUAGGCAGAAUUCUAAGAUGGUCUCCAAGAUUCCCGAUGUACACACACUCUUCCACAUAUUCAAUUAAAUGCUAAUCCAGCUACUGCUGUAAAUGGCUUUUGCACGUGUAAUUAAGGUCCCAACUCAGUUGACCUUACAAUCGGGAGAUUAUCUACUAGUAAGUGGGCCUGACUUAAUCACAUGAGCCCUUUAGGAGGAACGAGUUUUCUCUGGCUGGUUGCAAAAGUCAGAGACUUGAAGGGGAACUGAAUUCUGCCACCCUGAAUGAGCGUGGAAGCAGCCUUUCCCCCAGGACUUCCAGAGGGGAACUCAGUCUGGUUGAUGUCUUGAUUUCAGCCUUCUGAUAUCUGACAUUCUGAGCAGUGACCACGUCACACCAUGCCAGACUUCUGACCCACUGAAGCGUGAACAAGUAAAUGGGUAUUGUUCUUAAUCACUAAAUUUAUAGUAAUUUCUUAUGUAACAAAAGAAAACUGAUAAAAUUUGUAUAAACAAACUCUCGAUAAAUGUUUGUUCUAGCUCCUACAUGGCUAUAGAAGGGAUAGAAGAAAUGUCAAUAUUUAGUGAAUAUUGGCUAACCAAAGAACUUACAUGCAUAUAUGCAUAGCACGUGGACACAGACAAU